AGCUUUGUGCAGUGGCAGUAUCAUAGCCAAUGAGGUUUAUCCGAGGUACGAUUAUUGCUAAUUGAAAACUUUUCCCAAUACCCUACCAUGAAGACUUGAAAUAUAGUCCACAAUGGCAAUUUUUUUUUUUAGUGUAGCAUGACUG
rfam:Erinaceus europaeus unplaced genomic scaffold scaffold00142, whole genome shotgun sequence